rnacentral:tRNA from 1 species
AAGAUUUUAGCUUAAUGAAAGCAUCUGGGUUGCAUUCAGAAGAUGUGAGGUAAAGUCUCGCAAAUUUUA